AAUUUGUGUUUUCCUUUCUCCUGGGUGCUUAUCGAUCAUGGCUCCUGUCCGCCGAGGCUAACUCUUCCCAGACUCUGACUUGUCGGUUCUACUCUGAUCUUGAUAUCCGUGGAGCAGGAUAGGAGGUGCCCAUGGAUGACAGUGCUGUUUGAGAGUGAUUCUUGCUGGACUUAAGUGAAAGAUGCAGUUUGCAGGUCUUUCCUCAGCGGUCACCAGGUCUUUCUGGGCACAUUAAAAAAAACACUGCAGAGGAUUCAGCAAGUCAUUAUUCCAGAGCACCAAACUCCGAGAACACGGAGGAUGUGGAGUGGUAAAUAGAAAACUUGGAAGACAAAAAAAGAGAGAAAAAAAAAGCCCCAACAUAUCUGGUGUUCAUUAAUUUAAGGAGCCAUUGAGCAAUGCGAGCUGCAUCAUUCUUCUCGUCAUCCCUUCUGCGUGUCCCAUAGGCUACUGUGUGGACAGCCCUGAUUUGUAACCAGCCAUCCUUAGCUCUGCAGCAUAACAUGAUAUGAAAUCAGGUCAUCAAGGAAUCCAGAAGACAAAAAUUGAGAGGAAGAAUCUAUUUCAACUGGCCACAUGCCCAGACACAGCCAAAUGCACUGACUACUACAGGAGGGCAACACCCAAGCCUGGAGAAAGAGCUGGCCCCACUCAGGGGACAUAUAGGCUUCUGACCUCCGAAAUUCCCAGGGACUACACAAUACAGUAACCUGUGAGCACCAGACCAAAUCCCUCUGGAUUGUGAGAUUUAUUAGAAGGACAGCUCCCUGCGGUGCCAGGAAAUUUUGAAUCUGACGAAUAAACAGUGUGCAGGCUGAGGAAAAUCGCCACAUAGACUUCUUUCCAAAUGUGAAGCUGUCACACACAGGACAGAUGAUCUCUUAAAAUCUUGGAGAGAAACAUCUUUCAGUUGCCUUUGACGGGAAUAAACAUGACACAGAAAAAGAAACCCUUCUCUCUAAUGCAUUUGACUGUCUGGCUGGCUGUCUUCCAAAAACAGUUGGAGCUAUAAAUGUUAAAUUUGGC